rnacentral:rRNA from 1 species
UACGUAGGGGGCAAGCGUUGUCCGGAUUUAUUGGGCGUAAAGAGCGUGUAGGCGGCCAUACAGGUCCGUUGUGAAAACUGGAGGCUUAACCUCCAGACGUCGAUGGAAACCGUAUGGCUAGAGUCCGGAAGAGGAGAGUGGAAUUCCUGGUGUAGCGGUGAAAUGCGUAGAUAUCGGGAGGAACACCUGUGGCGAAAGCGGCGCACUGGACCACAUCUGACGCUGAGGCGCGAAAGCUAGGGGAGCAAACAGG